rnacentral:rRNA from 1 species
CCUACGGGGGGCUGCAGUGGGGAAUAUUGGACAAUGGGCGAAAGCCUGAUCCAGCCAUGCCGCGUGUGUGAAGAAGGCCUUCGGGUUGUAAAGCACUUUCAGUGGGGAAGAAAGCCUUGGGGCUAAUACCCUCGAGGAAGGACAUCACCCACAGAAGAAGCACCGGCUAACUCCGUGCCAGCAGCCGCGGUAAUACGGAGGGUGCGAGCGUUAAUCGGAAUUACUGGGCGUAAAGCGCGCGUAGGCGGUCUGAUAAGCCGGUUGUGAAAGCCCCGGGCUCAACCUGGGAACGGCAUCCGGAACUGUCAGGCUAGAGUGCAGGAGAGGAAGGUAGAAUUCCCGGUGUAGCGGUGAAAUGCGUAGAGAUCGGGAGGAAUACCAGUGGCGAAGGCGGCCUUCUGGACUGACACUGACGCUGAGGUGCGAAAGCGUGGGUAGCAAACAGGAUUAUAUACCCGAGUAGUC